AUGAAUCCCGAGUAUGAUUACCUCUUCAAGCUUUUGCUUAUUGGAGACUCGGGUGUUGGCAAGUCAUGUCUUCUGUUAAGAUUUGCAGACGACUCGUACCUGGAUAGUUACAUCAGUACUAUUGGAGUUGAUUUCAAAAUAAGGACUGUGGAGCAGGACGGAAAGACUAUCAAGCUGCAAAUUUGGGACACUGCUGGGCAAGAACGUUUUAGAACUAUUACCAGCAGCUACUACCGAGGGGCCCAUGGGAUUAUUAUCGUCUAUGAUGUGACAGACCAAGAUAGCUUCAACAAUGUGAAGCAGUGGUUGAACGAGAUUGACCGCUAUGCCAGUGAGAAUGUGAACAAGCUUCUCGUGGGGAACAAAUGUGAUCUGGCUGACAAAAGAGCUGUGUCAUAUGAAACAGCAAAGGCAUUUGCUGAUGAGAUUGGCAUCCCAUUCAUGGAGACCAGCGCAAAGAACGCCCUGAAUGUUGAACAGGCUUUCAUGGCCAUGGCUGCUUCAAUCAAGGAUAGGAUGGCGAGCCAGCCAGCCGCAAACAACGCUCGCCCAGCUACUGUACAGAUCCGCGGGCAACCUGUCGAGCAGAAGACCAGCUGUUGCUCUUCUUAG
rnacentral:rRNA from 1 species